rnacentral:rRNA from 1 species
AUUGAACGCUGGCGGCAGGCUUAACACAUGCAAGUCGAGCGGAGCGAGGGUGCUUGCACCUUAGCUUAGCGGCGGACGGGUGAGUAAUGCCUAGGAAUCUGCCUGGUAGUGGGGGACAACGUUUCGAAAGGAACGCUAAUACCGCAUACGUCCUACGGGAGAAAGCAAGGGACCUUCGGGCCUUGCGCCAUCAGAUGAGCCUAGGUCGGAUUAGCUAGUUGGUGGGGUAAUGGCUCACCAAGGCGACGAUCCGUAACUGGUCUGAGAGGAUGAUCAGUCACACUGGAACUGAGACACGGUCCAGACUCCUACGGGAGGCAGCAGUGGGGAAUAUUGGACAAUGGGCGAAAGCCUGAUCCAGCCAUGCCGCGUGUGUGAAGAAGGUCUUCGGAUUGUAAAGCACUUUAAGUUGGGAGGAAGGGCAGUAAGUUAAUACCUUGCUGUUUUGACGUUACCGACAGAAUAAGCACCGGCUAACUCUGUGCCAGCAGCCGCCGUAAAAC